UGUUUGUUGUUGCCGAAUAAACUUAUUUUGUGACAGAAAUAUCUGGCUCUCUUUGUGUUUCAGGCCAGCAUUAUUUGGCGUCUUCUCACAUGAGGAGGAUCCAGAGCAGACCCCAGACAACUCUGAGGCUGGUGAGCAUACGAUAUGGGUUCAGUGCUCACAGAACCAACUGAACUCAGUGCUUCCUCUCUAACCCUGGAAUUUGAGGGCCAAGGUGUCUAGAAAAGUGUCAUGGCAGAAUUUCUUCUUCUCAAAUACUUCUAGAAUUUGACAGUAGCCAAUCAGAUGAAGCCUCUCGUGAGUGCAUAAUGCUGAUGAAUCACCAUCUGACCCCUUGUGAUGAUCUGCAGGAAACUCCUUUGAGUAAUGCUGACUUUUAAUAGUUCACCGAAGGUUCUUAUGUAAAAGAUGAUAAUGGCAAAUAUUGAGCUGGAUUAUGUAAUAUCAACAUUUUUGAUGUAGUUAAAACAGCACCUUUGCCUUUGGCUAUUAUGAGCCAAUAAACUGAAUUUUGUAUGUUUGCAUGGUCCUGCCCUCUAGCUAACUGCUAUCAUCUGUACUAGUAGAAGAUAUACUUUCAAAGUGGCACUUGAUUUUGGAAUGUUGGGGAAGCAACAUGGGUUUCUUACUUACAGGGGAAAUAAAAUUUAAAAUGGCCUGUUAUGUUCAGGAAUUACUGGCAACUGUACAUUUACCUGCUACUGUAGCUAUUACUAAAAUCCCAGGCAUUCUAAACAUGGCUCUCUGGAAGAUACCAGAAGUCCCCCUGCUGAUGCUUCCUUGAGGAAUGCUGCCCUUAAAGGAAUCAACUGUGUUGGACCUCUGUCAAGGCCCACUGGGAUAUUCCCCCAAAUGAUAACUUCAAAAAGCUGGCUACAGUAGCCCAAUAAUUGGCCUCGGAGAAAGAAAAAC